UGGCGCCUACGGGGGGCAGCAGUGGGGAAUAUUGCACAAUGGGGGAAACCCUGAUGCAGCGACGCCGCGUGAGUGAAGAAGUAUUUCGGUAUGUAUAGUUCUAUCAGCAGGGAAGAUAAUGACGGUACCUGACUAAGAAGCCCCGGCUAACUACGUGCCAGCAGCCGCGGUAAUACGUAGGGGGCAAGCGUUAUCCGGAUUUACUGGGUGUAAAGGGUGCGAAGGUGGCAGGGCACGUCAGAUGUGAAAGCCCGGGGCUCAACCCCGGUACUGCAUUUGA
rnacentral:rRNA from 1 species